UAAAAAAGACUAUUGAUAUUACUACAAUAAUAUAAAAACAACAACAACUUACUACUGCUAUUAGGCUACUUCUUCUACAGUAAUAACAAUAUUAAUAAUGACAAUAACAACAACAACAAUGAUAAUUUUACAAUAUUUGUGAACAUGUAAAAAACAAUUUCCAGCCGGUUGUGUUGUGUUUAUAACUGAGGCCUCAAUCAAAAACCCUUCGGUUGAAAGAUAUAUCUUAGUUAGGAUAUUAAGAUCCACAUUAAUAGAUGCAAAUAAGAAAACAUUUUUAAUGUUAUAACUCUUCUAUUAAACAACUUAACUUGUUUCGGUUGAUGUGCGUCUAUGAAGCCGUGUGAAAACAUUAGAGAGGGACAAACAUGAAACAGGGAGCGGCUGUCUGAAUGCAGGAGCAGUAAUCCUGCAGUCGCUGUGUGCUGACUGUUUCAUUCCUCCCUGCAGAGCCGCAGGCUGGAGACGCAGCUCUGCGCUGAGACUGUAAAAAGGUGUGAAAUUAUUUUGCUGGACUCUUAAAAAUGUUACUACAGUUUGUUCUCCAGUGCAGGUUCAUUAGGGAGAAGGGUUAAAAGUAGUAGGGUGACGUUGUGGAACAGUGUCGCCACCCUCUGGUGACUUACAGGGACUGCAGGGUGGGGAGGCAGCAGUGCGCAGGCGUGUUUCCUUUCUGUUGCAAUCCGGAAAAAAUGCAGGAUUAAAGUCAGAGAAAUGACGCUCCAAAGGACGGGCCCAGCAAAGGAGCAGAGGGCGGAAGGUUCCCAGGUAGAAACAAAGGAUCGCUCCAAAUGACCGUGAGUCCUGCGCGUCCCCGUCGGGGAGAAUCCAAUAAAGCUGAUCAUUUCCGCUCGGCCUUUUGUCCAGAGCGCAGUCCCACAGAAAGAGAAGAAAAAACAAAUGGGUGCCAUUCUGGAAACGGCCUAAUUGUGUCUGGACGGCCAUAAAACCAUUAAAACUGGAAUGCCAGACAGUA